rnacentral:rRNA from 1 species
ACGGGGUGCAGCAGGCGCGAAAACUUCACACUGCGAGAAAUCGCGAUGAGGGAAUUCCAAGUGUCAGUACACUGUGCUGGCUUUUCACCUGCCUAAAAAGCUGGUGGAAUAAGGGCUGGGUAAGACGGGUGCCAGCCGCCGCGGUAAUACCCGCAGCCCGAGUGGUGGUCGUGAUUAUUGAGCCUACAGCGUCCGCAGUCGGCCCGAUAAAUCUCUGGGGAAAUCGGGCGGCUUAACCGUCCGAAUUCCAGAGAGACUGCCGGGCUUGGGACCGGGGGAGGUCGGAGGUACUCCCGGGGUAGGGGUGAAAUCCUGUAAUCCUGGGAGGACCACCAGUGGCGAAGGCGUCCGACUAAAACGGAUCCGACGAUCAGGGACGAAGCCCUGGGGCGCAAUCUUGGGUGCAAGGCCAAAAUAAACCUUGCACCGCGAGGCGUAAACGGGAUUAGAUACCCCGGUAGUCCAGGGUGUAAACGCUACAGGCUUGGUGUUGGGGAUCCUACGAGGAUGCCCAGUGCCGGAGAGAAGUUGUUAAGCCUGUCGCUUGGGAGUACGCCGCAAGGC